rnacentral:pre_miRNA from 1 species
AAAAGAAUCACCUGGGGGAUCUUGUUCAAAUGCAUAUUCUGAUUCAGUAGGUCUAGGGUGGGACUGGAGAUUCUGUAUUUCUAACAAGCUCCCAGGUGAUGCCAAU